AGGGCACCGGCACCGGCAGCAGCGUGCUCGGCUGUGGAUGAGGCACGGGCUGGCCGCGGGCCAGCACCGCUGAGUGUGGGCCGGUGUUUAAAUAGGCAAUUUGCGUGGGCAAAUAUAUGAAAUAAUGUAUGCAAGGACAGAUGUCUGUCAGAGUGGAGUGAACACAUACACACGUGAGAAGAAUUGUAUGUUAUCAGUGAGCUUUCUGGAUGCUAUGAAAAGGGGCACCUGACCUUGCACAGACUACAAAGACACAUGCGCACAUAAAAGGAGACUGAGGCUGUGAGAUAUACAUAUGAUCACAGAAUCCCAGAAGAAGGUUGAAAAAGACUUCCAAGACCAUCAAGUCCAACCUUUAACCAGUCACCAGCUGGACAAGACCACUGAAUGCCGCAUGCAGUCACUCCUUGAAAAUGUCCAAGGAUGGUGACUCCACCACCAAUGGAUCCCCCAUUUCCCCCCUCCACCCCAAGCAAGAGAAUGAGUCAAAACUCUCUGGAUUUGUGAAUGUCCGGAUUGUGGUAACAAUGGGGUGUUGGGAUAAUACAGGAGAAGGUGGAUGUGUCUGAAGAAACCACAUCCAUCCCAUGGAGUUCCAUCCCAUGGAGUACCCACAUUGGAGCAGGAGAAAUGCUAGGAAGGAUGAGCAGCAGAGGGAGUUUUUAUGCACUGACCACAUCCCCCAUUCCCCAUCCCCACUGCACUGCCCGGGCUGGAGGGAAAGAGGAGUUGGGGAUGUGAAGUUGAGCCUGAGAAAAAAAGUGGUUUAAGUCUUGUCUUGGUUUCUCACCA